AAUGCGAAUUUAACUUGUUGCAGUUAAAAAUAUCGUAGUUGGAUCUUGGGUCGUAAAGGUCAGUCUGCCUACUUGGUGUGCACCUGCCCUUCCGUCCCUUUUGUCGGUGGCAUGCUCCUGGCCUUAAUUGGUUGGGUCGUAGUUCUGACAUUGUUACUUUGAAAAAAAUAGAGUGCUCAAAGCAAGCUUAUGCUUUGAAUACAUUAGCAUGGAAUAAAGCGAUAGGAGUUUGGUCUUAUUGUGUUAUACUUCGAGACUAGAGUAAUGAUUAAUAGGGACUGUCGGGGGCAUUCGUAUUUCAUUGUCAGAGGUGAAAUUCUUGGAUUUAUGAAAGACGAACCACUACGAAAGCAUUUGCUAAGGAUGUUUUCAUUAAUCAAUAAUGAAAGUUGGGGGCUCGAAGACGAUCAUAUACCAUCCUAGUCUCAACCAUAAACGAUGCCAACUAGGGAUCAAUGGAUGUUGCUCUAAGGACUCUGACAACACCUUAUGAGAAAUCAGAGUGUUUGGGUUCCGGGGGGAGUAUGGUCGCAAGGAUGAAACUUAAAGGAAUUGAUGGAAGGGCGCCACUAGGAGUGGAUCCUGUGGCUUAAUUUGACUCAACACGAGAAAACUUACCAGGUCCAGACAUAGUAAGGAUUGACAGAUUGAGAGCUCUUUCUUGAUUCUAUGGG
rnacentral:ncRNA from 1 species